rnacentral:tRNA from 3 species
CAUUAAGAAGCUAAACUGGGACUAGCAUUAGCCUUUUAAGCUAAAUAUUGGUGACUCCCAAUCACCCUUAAUGA